rnacentral:rRNA from 1 species
AGUAACACGUGGGCAAUCUGCCCUUCACUCUGGGACAAGCCCUGGAAACGGGGUCUAAUACCGGAUAAUACUUUCUCCCGCAUGGGGGAAGGUUGAAAGCUCCGGCGGUGAAGGAUGAGCCCGCGGCCUAUCAGCUUGUUGGUGGGGUGAUGGCCUACCAAGGCGACGACGGGUAGCCGGCCUGAGAGGGCGACCGGCCACACUGGGACUGAGACACGGCCCAGACUCCUACGGGAGGCAGCAGUGGGGAAUAUUGCACAAUGGGCGAAAGCCUGAUGCAGCGACGCCGCGUGAGGGAUGACGGCCUUCGGGUUGUAAACCUCUUUCAGCAGGGAAGAAGCGAAAGUGACGGUACCUGCAGAAGAAGCGCCGGCUAACUACGUGCCAGCAGCCGCGGUAAUACGUAGGGCGCAAGCGUUGUCCGGAAUUAUUGGGCGUAAAGAGCUCGUAGGCGGCUUGUCACGUCGGAUGUGAAAGCCCGGGGCUUAAC